AAUUUUUUUCCUGUCUCAAACCUUCUCCUUCAACUAUCCAUUGUGGGCUAAGGCAUUGUUGCUGCAGCUACGAAUUCUUGAGACCUGCAUCGCAUGUUUUCCACUGUUUGCCUGUAUUUCCACACGACACAAGCUGGUUGGGUCAGUCCUCGGUGUUACCUACAGUUCAAUACACUUAGGCGCUUCGAUUGCUGAGGCCGUACAGUUCAACUGCCAGAAUGAUUCACAACCG